UACAGAGGGGGCAAGCGUUGUUCGGAAUUACUGGCGUAAGGGACGGCGUAGCGGCCUGCUAAGUCGAACGUGAAAUCCCCGAGCUCAACUCGGGAACUGCGUCCGAUACUGGCAGGCUUGAAUCCGGGAGAGGGAUGCGGAAUUCCAGGUGUAGCGGUGAAAUGCGUAGAUAUCGGAAGGAACGCCGGUGGCGAAAGCGGCGUGCUGGACCUCUUCUGACGCUGAGGCGCGAAAGCCAGGGGAGCGAACGGG
rnacentral:rRNA from 1 species